rnacentral:rRNA from 1 species
GUCCACGCCCUAAACGAUGUCAACUAGCUGUUGGGGCCUUCGGGCCUUAGUAGCGCAGCUAACGCGUGAAGUUGACCGCCUGGGGAGUACGGUCGCAAGAUUAAAACUCAAAGGAAUUGACGGGGACCCGCACAAGCGGUGGAUGAUGUGGAUUAAUUCGAUGCAACGCGAAAAACCUUACCUACCCUUGACAUGUCUGGAAUCCCUAAGAGAUUGGGGAGUGCUCGCAAGAGAACUGGAACACAGGUGCUGCAUGGCUGUCGU